rnacentral:tRNA from 1 species
GGGUGUGUAGCUCAGUUGGUUAGAGCACCGUCUUCACAUGGCGGGGGUCGCUGGUUCGAAUCCAGCCAUACCCACCA